AACGUAGGAGGCAAGCGUUAUCCGGAGUUACUGGGCGUAAAGAGCUCGUAGGCGGUUUGUCGCGUCUGCUGUGAAAACUCGGGGCUUAACUCCGGGCCUGCAGUGGGUACGGGCAGACUAGAGUGCGGUAGGGGAGACUGGAAUUCCUGGUGUAGCGGUGAAAUGCGCAGAUAUCAGGAGGAACACCGGUGGCGAAGGCGGGUCACUGGCCCGGUACUGACGCUGAGGCACGAAAGCGUGGGGAGCAAACAGG
rnacentral:rRNA from 1 species